rfam:Salmo salar isolate Sally breed double haploid chromosome ssa05, whole genome shotgun sequence.
UAGCUCACUUGGUAGAGCAUGGUGUUUGCAACGCCAGGGUUGUGGGUUCGAUUCCCAC